UGGGGAAUUUUGGACAAUGGGCGCAAGCCUGAUCCAGCCAUGCCGCGUGCGGGAAGAAGGCCUUCGGGUUGUAAACCGCUUUUGUCAGGGAAGAAAUCUUCUGAGUUAAUACCUCGGGAGGAUGACGGUACCUGAAGAAUAAGCACCGGCUAACUACGUGCCAGCAGCCGCGGUAAUACGUAGGGUGCAAGCGUUAAUCGGAAUUACUGGGCGUAAAGCGUGCGCAGGCGGUUUUGUAAGACAGAGGUGAAAUCCCCGGGCUCAACCUGGGAACUGCCUUUGUGACUGCAAGGCUUGAGUGCGGCAGAGGGGGAUGGAAUUCCGCGUGUAGCAGUGAAAUGCGUAGAUAUGCGGAGGAACACCGAUGGCGAAGGCAAUCCCCUGGGCCUGCACUGACGCUCAUGCACGAAAGCGUGGGGAGCAAACAGGAUUAGAUACCCUGGUAGUCCACGCCCUAAACGAUGUCAACUGGUUGUUGGGAAGGUUCCUUCUCAGUAACGUAGCUAACGCGUGAAGUUGACCGCCUGGGGAGUACGGCCGCAAGGUUGAAACUCAAAUGAA
rnacentral:rRNA from 1 species